rnacentral:siRNA from 1 species
AAGAGAUGUUGCAAGAAACAGAG